rnacentral:rRNA from 1 species
GGGCCCGCACAAGCGGUGGAGCAUGUGGUUUAAUUCGAUGAUACGCGAGGAACCUUACCAGGGCUUAAAUGUAAGUUGCAUGGAUCAGAGAUGGUCCUUUCUUCGGACUACUUACAAGGUGCUGCAUGGUUGUCGUCAGCUCGUGCCGUGAGGUGUCAGGUUAAGUCCUAUAACGAGCGCAACCCCUAUCGUUAGUUGCCAGCAAGUAAAGUUGGGUACUCUAGCGAGACUGCCGGUGCAAACCGAGAGGAAGGUGGGGAUGACGUCAAAUCAUCACGGCCCUUACGUCCUGGCUACACACGUGCUACAAUGGCCGGUACAGAGAGCAGCCACUACGCGAGUAGGAGCG